rnacentral:tRNA from 1 species
CCCUCUAUAGCUCAGUUGGUAGAGCAACGGACUCUUAAUCCGCGGGUCGCAGGUUCGAAUCCUGCUGGGGGGA